rnacentral:misc_RNA from 1 species
UUGCUACCGGGUCACUG